CCUCUAAGGCCCGGGGCCUGAAGGCAGUGAUAUCUAUUAUUCACUCCAGUUUACAAAGGAGGACAGCUGAGAUUCAGAGAGGUUUACUAACUUGCUGAAGAUUACACAGCUCCAAAAUGGUAGAGGAAGGACUCAACUUGAAGGCCUCAGGAUCCUAAUGUCUCAGCCUUCUGGUGAACACAAAGCCCAUCAGAACAGAGCUGGGCCUUCACUAGUCUGGACGAUCAGCUGCUCAGAGCCUUGCAUACAGUGGGAGGCUGAGGAAUGUUCUUUCUAGAAGAAGAGGUGCUCCAGGCUGACUCCAUACCUCCCACUGAAUGACAAUUGUUCUAAAGGUAGACAUUCUUAUUUCAUCAUCAAGAAAAGCACUCUGUAGUGAACAAGGGCACUCACGCAAUUGGAUUCAUGGAGAGAUGUUUGUUUUUCUCCCACUUGUUUACUGUUGCUGGUGUUAGAUCAAGUCUGGCCUUUACUAUUCCAUUAAAAAAUGACCAUUUGUGAUUAGAUAUUUACAAAAAUAUAUUC
rnacentral:lncRNA from 1 species